rnacentral:lncRNA from 1 species
GGGUACGCAACGACGUCCAGCCCCCCUAGCUUGACCGGAUUUUUCGCCCCUCGUGGCACCGAGCAGACACUCCACGCGAUUAAGACCCGCAUCCAGUGACCAUGGCGAAAAUGUCCGCUGAACAGCCAGUUACAAUGCGGGACAUGAUGGGGGGUGAUAUCUGAGUCGCCCCAGCUACGACCAACCCUCGAGUCACGCACUCCGCCACCUUUUAUCGGAACAGCACGAAGGGUGCCACCCUGACUACCUAACGUGCAGCCAUUCGAUGUACGGUUGGCGCCAUCUUUCUAGCGGUUUUCACCCGUAAGAGGACGCCCUAAUGCUCGCAAUCAGUAGCGGAACGCCUUUUGGCUCUCGGUGUGUUGGCUAAGAGGUUGUACGUAUUACGUGACAUCAAACAUGACUCAGAGAUUGCGUCGAUGCAUCGGGUGGGAAACGUCGAUUGCAUCACAGUGCAACGGUUUUCUGAAGCGGAUAGUGAUUGUUGAGUUUUACGGUACUAUCGUGUCGUGGUCUUGUUCACGUGUCAAUAAUUAUGUUAGCGUAAGAUAGAGCUCGAUUGACAUAAGGAAUGUAAGCUUGUAUUAAGGAAAACUUAUAGGAGUGCUGUAAUAGUGAUAAAAUAUAUAUUGCAAUACUUGUCGUUGUGACAAGUCACCUUGACGUAUGAAGAGAAAC